rnacentral:misc_RNA from 1 species
CGUGCAUCCCCGUGGUGCUCCAUGAUGAGGGUGUUUGAGAUGGCUUCUGUUUUGGUACAGUUAUGCCAGAACAGAGUUUUACAUCUGCAGAGGAGUUGGAAACUCCUGAUUAGGGGUCUAGAGUUAGAAUAUUGAAAGGUCACAGUUGGGUGAUAACUAGAGUCAGUGACUCAGUUACCCUAGCAUGAGCUAGAGUUACAAUAAGAAUUGCCAUCAGACCAGAGGUUUCGAAUUAGUUGCAAAGUAAAGGUGACACCCAUAGAGUGAGAUUAUCUAGUAUUCAGUAUGGAAUUUUGGAUGGUUUUUGCAGUAUGACAAACAUUUUGCUUAGAGCUUAGUGAGAAUAGUAUAUCUUGUGUGUAUUAGUAUGGAAUAAAGUACAACCCCACUACCUAGAGAAGGUCGAAAUUAUGAAUUGAUGAUUUACAGAGCUAUGAUAUGAUAAAAGAGACAUUAAUUUUGACAUGGUUUUGGGCAAGGUGGUAAAUGUAGUACCUUUGUUGCAGCAAGUUAGGGUAUAGUCCUAUCUUUUCAGAAGGGAUCGAAGGUUAUUACUGAUAAUGAUGACUUAUGGAGUAGUGUCCCAGAUGGGAUUGUAGCGUGAGAUAGAGAGUUGUUAGCUCAGGUGUUCUGGAGAGGGUACAAGUUCCAUGUAGGAAUUAUAAGAUGUAAGAUCAAGAUGUAUGUAAGCCUUUAAAUUGAAUGACGGGUUUGGAUACCUAGUAUUUUAAGUUUCAGCUAAUUAAAUGGAUAUGAAAAAUUAAAGUUGCUACAGAUCCCCUCCCUAAGGUAGUAGGGGGUAGUAUGUAGUCCAAAAGGGUAAGAAUAGAGAUCACACAGGAGAAGUAUGACUGAUAUUCCCUAAGUUCAUCCUUAGCUUCUUAAUGCUUAAGACUAAAGUAUACUCCAAAUAAAGUAAAAGAAAAAGAACAAAAGUUAGCAUCGAUAAAUAUAUGGA